rnacentral:lncRNA from 1 species
CUGCCAUUUCCCUUAUUAAUGUGAAACUAACUUACCAGCUAUAGGAUCCAUGGCUUCCCUAUUGCUUGGAGAAUAUGAACUCUGAGAAGAAGAAAGUCCACCAGUAGAACUGCUAGUAAAGUGCAUGUUUGAUCUACGAGCACGAGGACCUCCUAAUCCCCGGCCAGGGUGAAACAUUCUACGUACAUGUCGAACACCACUCGAUUCAUCAUAACCCAAAAGGGCUCUGUGUUCAAGUGUAAGAUGAGCUGCAAAGUCAUCCGUGACAUGAUUAGGAUCGCCUCCAGGUAACGCUGCACAUAUUGGACAAAUCUGAAAUGGAAGUAAAGAAAGCAGCUUAAUAAAUGAACGUCAAUAAGACAUCUUUCUGGACGAGUAUUCUGCUGUAAGUUUUACUAUUAUCAAGUUUUAACCAACAGAAAACACAGCAGAUCCUAAAUCAGUGAAAAGCAGUAGAAACCUAAGCAAGAACUGUUCACACAAGGUCCCUCAGGGUCAAACACAACAGUUUCAGACACACCAAACUUGAUCUCUGGCAGGGCCUUCUAACAGCCUGCCUGAUUCAUUUGUAUGGUCUA